UGCCCGAGCACAUUUCAUUUUCCGAGCAAGACUGAAGCUUUAAAUUGUUAUAAAAGUUUCUUAUCAAACUAUUUUCUUCCGUCAGGGUUGGAGAAGCAGUAACGUUGGCAUUUCCGGCAUCUUUUACGUUUGUCGUUAACGUUUCACGAUGAUCUGAGCGAAAACUGCACUUAAUGAUGAAGUUUCGACAUUUGCUUCAGGAUCUUACGGACUAGACGCAAGGCUCGUCAUUCGCACGUACUCCUAUAUCUUGAGGUUGCAGAAGCAGUAACGUUGGCAUUUCCGGCAUCUUUUACGUUUGUCGUUAACGUUUCACGAUGAUCUGAGAGAAAACUGCACUUAAUGAUGAAGUUUCGACAUUUGCUUCAGGUAUGUCAGAAUAGCCACAAUUCAACACAAAUUCUUGUCGAAAAAAACAUGAAAUCAAGCUUAACUUGAUAAAACUGAAACACGAGUAAAUCGGCUUUCAAAGACCAAGAGA